rnacentral:rRNA from 1 species
GAUGAACGCUAGCUACAGGCUUAACACAUGCAAGUCGAGGGGAAACGAUAUUGGAAGCUUGCUUCCGAUAGGCGUCGACCGGCGCACGGGUGAGUAACGCGUAUCCAACCUGCCCACCACUUGGGGAUGACCUUGCGAAAGUAAGACUAAUACCCAAUGAUAUCUCUAGAAGACAUCUGAAGGAGAUUAAAGAUUCAUCGGUGAUGGAUGGGGAUGCGUCUGAUUAGCUUGUUGGCGGGGUAACGGCCCACCAAGGCGACGAUCAGUAGGGGUUCUGAGAGGAAGGUCCCCCACAUUGGAACUGAGACACGGUCCAAACUCCUACGGGAGGCAGCAGUGAGGAAUAUUGGUCAAUGGGCGAGAGCCUGAACCAGCCAAGUAGCGUGCAGGAUGACGGCCCUAUGGGUUGUAAACUGCUUUUAUAAGGGAAUAAAGUGAGUCUCGUGAGACUUUUGCAUGUACCUUAUGAAUAAGGACCGGCUAAUUCCGUGCCAGCCGCCGCGGUAA